GAUGAACGCUGGCGGCGUGCCUAAUACAUGCAAGUCGAGCGAACAGAUGAGGAGCCUGCUCCUCUGACGUUAGCGGCGGACGGGUGAGUAACACGUGGAUAACCUACCUAUAAGACUGGGAUAACUUCGGGAAACCGGAGCUAAUACCGGAUAAUAUAUUGAACCGCAUGGUUCAAUAGUGAAAGACGGUUUUGCUGUCACUUAUAGAUGGAUCCGCGCCGCAUUAGCUAGUUGGUAAGGUAACGGCUUACCAAGGCGACGAUGCGUAGCCGACCUGAGAGGGUGAUCGGCCACACUGGAACUGAGACACGGUCCAGACUCCUACGGGAGGCAGCAGUAGGGACUCUUCCGCAAUGGGCGAAAGCCUGACGGAGCAACGCCGCGUGAGUGAUGAAGGUCUUCGGAUCGUAAAACUCUGUUAUUAGGGAAGAACAAAUGUGUAAGUAACUAUGCACGUCUUGACGGUACCUAAUCAGAAAGCCACGGCUAACUACGUG
rnacentral:rRNA from 1 species